AUGGGUAUGAAGGUGAUGGGAGAGCGAGAUCGAGGAAGUAGUAUGGUGGAGAUAAUGAACAGCAAAAACUGCCUCUUGUAUAUUUUUUCUCGUUUUUUUUUCUGGAUUAAACAGAUUUUAUCUUUCUGCCCUCUUCUUUGUUUAUCUCGAAAUAUUAAUUCUCCUUCGUCUAAAAUUUAUUCUGUUGUGUUUCUCAGUGUCAUUGUCUUGCUUUAUCUGUUGCGAUGUUGUUUGUUGUGA